rnacentral:rRNA from 1 species
AACAGGGAUUGCCCCAGUAACGGCGAGUGAAGCGGCAACAGCUCAAAUUUGAAAUCUGGSCCCUUGGGUCCGAGUUGUAAUUUGUAGAGGAUGCUUUUGGCGAGGUGCCCUUCCGAGUUCCCSUGGAACGGGACGCCAUAGAGGGUGAGAGCCCCGUCUGGUCGGACACCGAGCCUCUGUAWAGCUCCUUCGACGAGUCGAGUAGUUUGGGAAUGCUGCUCAAAAUGGGAGGUAUAUGUCUUCUAMAGCUAAAUAUUGGCCAGAGACCGAUAGCGCACAAGUAGAGUGAUCGAAAGAUGAAAAGCACUUUGAAAAGAGGGUUAAAAAGUACGUGAAAUUGUUGAAAGGGAAGCGCCUAUGACCAGACUUGGGCCCGGUGAAUCAUCCAGCGUUCUCGCUGGUGCACUUUGCCGGGCACAGGCCAGCAUCAGUUUGGCGCGGGGGAAAAAGGCUUUGGGAAUGUGGCUCCCUCGGGAGUGUUAUAGCCCAUUGUGUAAUACCCUGCGCCGGACUGAGGUACGCSCMUUGCAAGGAWGCKGGCGUAAUGGUCAUCASCGACCCGUCUUGAAACACGGRCCAAGGAGUCGUCUUCGUMUGCGAGUGUUCGGGUGUCAAACCCCUACGCGUAAUGAAAGUGAACGCAGGUGAGAGCUUCGGCGCAUCAUCGACCGAUCCUGAUGUUCUCGGAUGGAUUUGAGUAAGAGCAUACGGGGCCGGMCCCGAAAGAAGGUGAACUAUGCCYGUAUAGGGUGAAGCCAGAGGAAACUYUGGUGGAGGCUCGCAGCGGUUCUGACGUGCGAAUCGAUCGUCMAAUAUGGGCAUGGGGGGCGMAAGACUAAUCGAACCUUCUAGUAGCUGGUUUCCGCCGAAGUUUCCCCYUCAGGAUUACA